ensembl:lncRNA novel transcript
GGGGGUUUAGGAUCCAAAGCCCAAGUGGGCAGUUCUGCCUGGACUGGAGGACAGAGCAUGGAGCAGGUGGGGAGAGGGCAGGUGUCUGCAGUUGGCCUUUUUCCUCUGUGAUGAGGAAGAUACCUCCACCAACUGGAAGAAAAGAAUCUGGAACGAUGAAGGUGAUGAUUGUGCCUGUGGCCAAGACCGGGAGAACCCUGGAUCCCUACACCUUCCCCACCCCUGGAAUGUCACUAUACAUAUCUGACUUCUUCUGAUGUUGCCUUUGACCCUAAAGUCAAUAUGAUAAAGUAACAAGAAGCUGGGACAGAGGAACAAACACAGCCCACUCAAGCAGUGGUGGCAACAUUCUGUUAGAAAGGAGGGGAGUCAAAGAAAAAAACACCCCUCCGCCCAUCUCCUUAUCACCUCCCUAAAGACAGAGGAGAACAUGGACACCCUCCAUCCUGAUAGACAUGCCAUGUGGUCAGUUUGUGCGGU